rnacentral:rRNA from 2 species
AUGAUACGUAGCCGACCUGAGAGGGUAAUCGGCCACAUUGGGACUGAGACACGGCCCAAACUCCUACGGGAGGCAGCAGUAGGGAAUCUUCCACAAUGGACGAAAGUCUGAUGGAGCAACGCCGCGUGAGUGAUGAAGGGUUUCGGCUCGUAAAACUCUGUUGUUGGAGAAGAACAGGUGUCAGAGUAACUGUUGACAUCUUGACGGUAUCCAACCAGAAAGCCACGGCUAACUACGUGCCAGCAGCCGCGGUAAUACGUAGGUGGCAAGCGUUGUCCGGAUUUAUUGGGCGUAAAGCGAGCGCAGGCGGUUUUUUAGGUCUGAUGUGAAAGCUUCGGCUUAACCGGAGAAGUGCAUCGGAAACCGGGAGACUUGAGUGCAGAAGAGGACAGUGGAACUCCAUGUGUAGCGGUGAAAUGCGUAGAUAUAUGGAAGAACACCAGUGGCGAAGGCGGCUGUCUGGUCUGUAACUGACGCUGAGGCUCGAAAGCAUGGGUAGCGAACAG